AUUGAACGCUGGCGGCAGGCCUAACACAUGCAAGUCGAGCGGAUGAAGGGAGCUUGCUCCUGGAUUCAGCGGCGGACGGGUGAGUAAUGCCUAGGAAUCUGCCUGGUAGUGGGGGAUAACGUCCGGAAACGGGCGCUAAUACCGCAUACGUCCUGAGGGAGAAAGUGGGGGAUCUUCGGACCUCACGCUAUCAGAUGAGCCUAGGUCGGAUUAGCUAGUUGGUGGGGUAAAGGCCUACCAAGGCGACGAUCCGUAACUGGUCUGAUAGGAUGAUCAGUCACACUGGAACUGAGACACGGUCCAGACUCCUACGGGAGGCAGCAGUGGGGAAUAUUGGACAAUGGGCGAAAGCCUGAUCCAGCCAUGCCGCGUGUGUGAAGAAGGUCUUCGGAUUGGAAAGCACUUUAAGUUGGGAGGAAGGGCAGUAAGUUAAUACCUUGCUGUUUUGACGUUACCAACAGAAUAAGCACCGGCUAACUUCGUG
rnacentral:rRNA from 1 species